UUGGUAUUGAUGUUAAAAGUGUGUCUGACUGGCAUCUGUUACCACAGGUGUCAAUGGGUGGAAAUGCUGAUUCUUUAGCUUACCUUUGAUAUUCAUUAUUCCGGGACAAGUGGGAACCAAAUACUUCUGUAAUGCUCAGUGUCUACCCCGGACUGUUGCUCUCUAAAUGUAACCUCAAGAUAGAAUUAAGGCGGUAUAUUUUCUGAAUCGUUGGAGAAUCAUUCGGUCUUAACUUGAAAGCCCAAGAGUAAAGAAUGCCUGCUUACCUGCCAACAAGAGAAAGGAAAACAACUAACAGGAAGAAGAGUGUUUGCUACAGUUACUGCUUGUGAAAGACAACUAGAAAUAGAAUUUGCCAUGAAAUUUAAAACUUCACAAACCUCACGGUGCUUCUUUUGAAGAAAAAUGUAGAGUUGGUAGUCGGUAUGAAAUUCUGAUGUGAACUCUUCCUUAGAACUUUACAGGAUAAGAGGAAAUGUGUGAAAUGGAGAUUGAACAAUCUUGUCUUGAAGCAGAAGACUCAAAUGGAAGCUCCUGGCAUUCCUCAA
rnacentral:lncRNA from 1 species